GCCCCGGUAAACGGCGGCCGUAACUAUAACGGUCCUAAGGUAGCGAAAUUCCUUGUCGGGUAAGUUCCGACCUGCACGAAUGGCGUAAUGAUGGCCAGGCUGUCUCCACCCGAGACUCAGUGAAAUUGAACUCGCUGUGAAGAUGCAGUGUACCCGCGGCAAGACGGAAAGACCCCGUGAACCUUUACUAUAGCUUGACACUGAACAUUGAGCCUUGAUGUGUAGGAUAGGUGGGAGGCUUUGAAGUGUGGACGCCAGUCUGCAUGGAGCCGGCCUUGAAAUACCACCCUUUAAUGUUUGAUGUUCUAACGUUGGCCCGUAAUCCGGGUUGCGGACAGUGUCUGGUGGGUAGUUUGACUGGGGCGGUCUCCUCCUAAAGAGUAACGGAGGAGCACGAAGGUUGGCUAAUCCUGGUCGGACAUCAGGAGGUUAGUGCAAUGGCAUAAGCCAGCUUGACUGCGAGCGUGACGGCGCGAGCAGGUGCGAAAGCAGGUCAUAGUGAUCCGGUGGUUCUGAAUGGAAGGGCCAUCGCUCAACGGAUAAAAGGUACUCCGGGGAUAACAGGCUGAUACCGCCCAAGAGUUCAUAUCGACGGCGGUGUUUGGCACCUCGAUGUCGGCUCAUCACAUCCUGGGGCUGAAGUAGGUCCCAAGGGUAUGGCUGUUCGCCAUUUAAAGUGGUACGCGAGCUGGGUUUAGAACGUCGUGAGACAGUUCGGUCCCUAUCUGCCGUGGGCGCUGGAGAACUGAGGGGGGCUGCUCCUAGUACGAGAGGACCGGAGUGGACGCAUCACUGGUGUUCGGGUUGUCAUGCCAAUGGCACUGCCCGGUAGCUAAAUGCGGAAGAGAUAAGUGCUGAAAGCAUCUAAGCACGAAACUUGC
rnacentral:rRNA from 1 species